rnacentral:rRNA from 1 species
AGAGUUUGAUCAUGGCUCAGAUUGAACGCUGGCGGCAUGCCUUACACAUGCAAGUCGAACGGCAGCACGAGAGCUUGCUCUUGGUGGCGAGUGGCGAACGGGUGAGUAAUAUAUCGGAACGUACCCUAGAGUGGGGGAUAACGUAGCGAAAGUUACGCUAAUACCGCAUACGAUCUACGGAUGAAAGUGGGGGAUCGCAAGACCUCAUGCUCAUGGAGCGGCCGAUAUCUGAUUAGCUAGUUGGUGGGGUAAAAGCUCACCAAGGCGACGAUCAGUAGCUGGUCUGAGAGGACGACCAGCCACACUGGAACUGAGACACGGUCCAGACUCCUACGGGAGGCAGCAGUGGGGAAUUUUGGACAAUGGGCGCAAGCCUGAUCCAGCAAUGCCGCGUGAGUGAAGAAGGCCUUCGGGUUGUAAAGCUCAUUUGUCAGGGAAGAAACGGUGGACUCUAAUACAGAUCACUAAUGACGGUACCUGAAGAAUAAGCACCGGCUAACUACGUGCCAGCAGCCGCGGUAAUACGUAGGGUGCAAGCGUUAAUCGGAAUUACUGGGCGUAAAGCGUGCGCAGGCGGUUGUGCAAGACAGAUGUGAAAUCCCCGGGCUCAACCUGGGAAUUGCAUUUGUGACUGCACGGCUAGAGUGUGUCAGAGGGGGGUAGAAUUCCACGUGUAGCAGUGAAAUGCGUAGAGAUGUGGAGGAAUACCGAUGGCGAAGGCAGCCCCCUGGGAUAACACUGACGCUCAUGCACGAAAGCGUGGGGAGCAAACAGGAUUAGAUACCCUGGUAGUCCACGCCCUAAACGAUGUCUACUAGUUGUCGGGUCUUAAUUGACUUGGUAACGCAGCUAACGCGUGAAGUAGACCGCCUGGGGAGUACGGUCGCAAGAUUAAAACUCAAAGGAAUUGACGGGGACCCGCACAAGCGGUGGAUGAUGUGGAUUAAUUCGAUGCAACGCGAAAAACCUUACCUACCCUUGACAUGUCUGGAAUCCUUGAGAGAUCAGGGAGUGCUCGAAAGAGAAUCAGAACACAGGUGCUGCAUGGCUGUCGUCAGCUCGUGUCGUGAGAUGUUGGGUUAAGUCCCGCAACGAGCGCAACCCUUGUCAUUAGUUGCUACGAAAGGGCACUCUAAUGAGACUGCCGGUGACAAACCGGAGGAAGGUGGGGAUGACGUCAAGUCCUCAUGGCCCUUAUGGGUAGGGCUUCACACGUCAUACAAUGGUACAUACAGAGGGCCGCCAACCCGCGAGGGGGAGCUAAUCCCAGAAAGUGUAUCGUAGUCCGGAUUGUAGUCUGCAACUCGACUACAUGAAGUUGGAAUCGCUAGUAAUCGCGGAUCAGCAUGUCGCGGUGAAUACGUUCCCGGGUCUUGUACACACCGCCCGUCACACCAUGGGAGCGGGUUUCACCAGAAGUGGGUAGCCUAACCGCAAGGAGGGCGCUCACCACGGUGGGAUUCGUGACUGGGGUGAAGUCGUAACAAGGUA